UACAGAGGUCUCGAGCGUUGUUCGGAUUCAUUGGGCGUAAAGGGUGCGUAGGUGGCGCCGUAAGUCGGGUGUGAAAUUUCGGAGCUUAACUCCGAAACUGCAUUCGAUACUGCCGUGCUUGAGGACUGGAGAGGAGACUGGAAUUUACGGUGUAGCGGUGAAAUGCGUAGAUAUCGUAAGGAAGACCAGUGGCGAAGGCGGGUCUCUGGACAGUUCCUGACGCUGAAGCACGAAGGCCAGGGGAGCAAACGGG
rnacentral:rRNA from 1 species